GUUAAAAUGACAGCUUGUAAUUCUCUCAUUCCAUUAUAAUACCUGAAUGGAAAGAGUGUCAGGGGCUAGGCUGCUGAAAUUGAACUUUGUACUAAAUGUACAUUAAAUCUAUAGCUAGGUGAAGCUUCUUUAUGAUACUUCAGACUGUCAGAAAAGUAUCAGUUAAUUCUUCCUUUUGCCUGGCAGAAGGAAUUAACAAAAAUCAUUUGGAUUUUCUUGGAAUCUGAAUGCACACAAAUCCAUCAACUAAGAUUGAAACAUUGUU
rnacentral:misc_RNA from 1 species